AUGGACGGCGGGGAGACCCAGGUCGUGGACGACGGAGGGACGCCGCCAUUGGGGUCUCCUGUUAGCUCCGGCGACACGACCCAGAGCGGGGGCGAGGAGGAUGACAACGGUCUGAGAUUAGGGUCUCCAGUUAGCUCUGGUGACACGACGCAGAGCGGGGGCGAGGACGAUGGCGACGCCGGUGUGCUGUAUGGCGAGACGCAGCCGCUGGACGACGACGAGGAGACCGAGGCGGUUGAUGAUGAAUUUGAGGGGGAAGGGGAGGAGAGGAUGUCUGAAGACACGCAGGUGGUGGAGGACUCAGAGGAUGAUGCCCGUGGCGUCGCUGGGCAGACGCAGGCAGUAGAGGAGGAGGAAGUGGAAGAUGGUGACAGCACGGAGGAUGAAGCUGGUGAUGGGGAUAGGACCCAGUUGGUUGAAGAAUGUGAGGUUGAGGAUGGUGGGAGCGGCGAGACCCAGUUGGUCGAGGAAUGUCAGGAAGAGGAGAGAGUAAAUGAUAGCAGCGAUGAUGAGGCUGCUGUUCAACAGGGGACGACCCAGUUGGUCGAGGAAUGUCAGGAAGAGGAGAGGGUAAAUGAUAGCAGCGAUGAUGACGCUGCCGAUCAACGUGGGAUGACCCAGUUGGUUGAAGACUCGGAUAAAGAGAUGGGUGAUGAUGGUGAUGAUGAGUUGAGCCAGGGCACUCAAGUGCAAAGUGACGAUGAUGGCCUGCCAAAUAAUGAGACAGAUGUGAAGGAUUAUGCCGAGGAUUCGGUAGAUUCUGAUGCUUCCACGGAAGAAGAAGCUGACACAGUCAGAAGUUUGGGACGAGGGAAAAGGCAUGAUUCGACCAAUGGAACAUUUCUCCGAACGGAAAUUAGCCAUGAAAAAGAUGGGAGUAAAAGCAAAGGCAGGUGCUCAACAGCAAAGAAGCUUUUUGCUGACACAACGAACGAAGAGAAUGAAAUCAAGAGCAGGUGUUUGGCUGGACUAAGCUAUCUCGGAUCACAGGAGCCUGGUGAGCUAUCUCAAGCAAAUGCUUUGGACUUUGUGGAAGGGUUGAUCUCAAUUAAUGGCGGCAUAUCGUCUCAAGAACCAACACCAAAAAAAUUAGAAAAAGCAAAGCCACCUGUUUCAAUUAAGAUGGGAACUUUACUAUUGGCUGAGAAGGUUGACCGGCAUAGAAGUUCCAGAGGAAAGGCAGAAGUCUUUGCAUGGGUGGAUAGUCGCGAGGAUGAUGGCGGAGGUGAUUUUUUCAGGAAAAACAAGGAUAUCUUGUUGCAACAAUCAGCUGGCAGAGGGAAAUCAGACAUUCCCAGGCCAAAGAAGUGCUCCACAAAAAUUGCACCUCCUGACAAGAAAAUAAUAGAGGGACGCAAAAGGAGAACGAAGUCCAAACUUUGUGACAAGACUGAAACUUUACCUUCAUCGGAUUCGAGACUACUCAAAAGUGAGGUGAAGAGUAAGAUGGCUUCUAGAAAAAGGACUAAGAAAAACCUUUUGAAAGACUUGGAUGAUCAUCUAUCAACUGCCAAACCUAUUGAAAGACAGCAGGAAAAGGUCAGUGUGGAUUUGCAUGAUGUUGGUCAGGAUACUCAAAUGGCUAUCGAAGCUAUAGAAGCACUGGCACAAAGUUCCCCUGCUGAAAACUUGUCAGCCGAAGUUGAACCUCCAGUGAAGAGAGAUCUGAGAGUUGUAUCUAAAGUAGAAAAAAGUAACCCAAAGAGUGACCCUCCUAGAAAGAGAACCAGCAGCGUCCAGGAAGGUGUCACGACACGUUCUAAAAGAAUAAAAGUAACUGAGAUGAACCACAAACCUCAGAAAGACGUGCGACAAAAUUUAGAAGAUCGUGCAACAAAGACGAAACAUAAGCAGGCAAAGCCAGUACCACAGAAGAAUAAAGUUACGAAGAUAGUUGAUGGAAAUAAGUAUGACAGUACACCUAUUGCUCAUCGAACAAGGCACACUGGUAGAAAUAACCUCUAUGAGUCUCCUGAGUUAUGUUCUAAUAAGAACUUAAAGAAGGCCACUGUUGGAGAAGUAAGAAAUAACCAUAGUGAACAUGUACUCGAGAGACCGAUGAUUAGUGAGAGAACCGCAGAAUAUGGUUCGGAUUCUGUGUUAAAAGAAAACACAGAGAAUACAUGUGCAAAUAAUGCUCAGGGUCUUCAGCAAAGUACUGAUGCAAGCAUACGGCAUACCGGUGCAAAUGUUGCUCAGAACCUUGAACCAUUAAGAGAUGAACCAACAACUCAUGUCUUCCGCAGAGAGCCCUCAUCUCACCCCAAACAGAGAAGAACACCUACUGCAGUGGUACAGGCAAAGGCUCCUGCAGUUACCGAGGCUGCUACAGGUCAUGAUGUACAACCAGAAGUGACAAGGCCAUCCAAGAAAAGACGGAUUUUUAUUAGCAGUUCAGAACUGCUAACGUAUGCAAGGAGGGAGCGCUCUGAUUGCAGAUCAACUUCUUUGCUGUCUAGUAUUAUCACACAAUCAUCAGCUGCUUCUCCUGUACUUGAUUCUUCAUCGGGAGUUAACAGCAAAACUUCUCGUUUUAGUACCUCUGAUCGGCGACAAAAGAAACCACCCGGUGUUAAGGAUGCAAGCAACUCACCAAAAUGUAACUCUCCAGUUCCGAAUAGUGCCCUGAAAACACCUUCUAAAGUGGUAAACAAAUUGUCGCCUGCUUUCAGUCCUCUAAAUCCAUCGAAAGCUUCGAAUAGGAGCUUGUUGAAAUCCUCUGUUGCCAAAGAGCUGCUGGAGUUAGAUCCUGAAAAUGCUCUACCAAGUCGAUACCGAAAGGAUUCUAGAAGAAAAGAUAUGACCAGUUGCAGUAUUAUUUUCAGCCAUCAUUUGGAUGAGGAUGUGAUCAAGCGUCAGAAGAAGAUCUUGGCACGCUUAGGAGCCCAUGAAGCACUUUCCGUUGCAGAUGCAACACAUUUUGUGGCGGAUGGUUUUUACCGCACAAAGAAUAUGCUGGAGGCAGUUACACGUGGCAAACUGGUAGUGACAUCAAUGUGGCUUGAAAGUUGUGGAGCAGCAGGCUGUUUUGUAAACGAUAAGAAGUAUAUUCUGAGGGAUGCCAAAAAGGAAAAGGAGAUGGGUUUCAGCAUGCCUAUAUCACUGGCCUCAGCUUGCAAGAGUCCUCUGCUGUUGGGGAAAAGAGUGUUUGUGACACAAAAUGUGAAGCCAAGUCGGGAGGUGGUGACAAGCUUGGUUUCCGCAUCUUCUGGGCAGCCAUUGGAGAGGAUGGGUAGGUCCAUAAGGAAGGAAAAGGAAGCACCAGAUGACCUACUGGUCAUCUCAUGUGAAGAGGACUACGAAACAUGCGCUCCACUCGUCGAGAAAGGUGUUGAUGUUUUCGAUGCGGAGCUUCUGCUGAACGGUAUAGUCACCCAGAAGCUCGAUUACGAGAGACACCGCCUUUUCUUGGACCGUGUGAAGCAGACCCGCUCGACGAGGUGGCUGAAAGACGGUGCCCACGGGCGGUUUGUGCCCGUAUCGAAGAGUUGA
rnacentral:rRNA from 1 species